rnacentral:rRNA from 1 species
UACGGAGGGGGCUAGCGUUGUUCGGAAUUACUGGGCGUAAAGCGCACGUAGGCGGCUUUGUAAGUUAGAGGUGAAAGCCCGGGGCUCAACUCCGGAAUUGCCUUUAAGACUGCAUCGCUAGAACGUCGGAGAGGUAAGUGGAAUUCCGAGUGUAGAGGUGAAAUUCGUAGAUAUUCGGAAGAACACCAGUGGCGAGGGCGACUUACUGGACGACCGUUGACGCUGAGGUGCGAAAGCGUGGGGAGCAAACAGG